AGAUGUAGAUGGAACCAAAGUCCAGAAGUUACGCGUCACCCUUGCUCUACAGCCAAACAUGCAGGACUCUAGUAACCCGCGAAAUGAUGGGAUAGCGUUGCAAAUCCUUAAAAGAGUCUUAACGGCUCUGCUCUAGCACUAAGAUAAUGCUACAGGACUGAAGAUAAUGAAAAAGAUUGAAGAAAGCAGAAACAGAACAAAAAUCAGAUUAUUUCAAAGUUUCUUUCCUUGUAAAGGUUAAAACAGAGCAUACUUCCUUAUUAUGCCCACUAG
rnacentral:lncRNA from 10 species